rnacentral:misc_RNA from 1 species
CGUGGCUGCCCUCCAGUGUGCGUGUUCCUUUGGAUUUCGCUUCCUUUUCUGGUGCGCGCGCCUGACUCUCCGCCUCCCAGAACCUUCUCCUCCGCUCUCUCGCGCGCACAUCAGGGACGUACACACACACACACACACACACACACACACACACACACACGUGACGCGCGCACACGUAAAAGGUACACAGACAUCCUCACACUUCAUAGAGAGAAGGAGGGUGAGGCGUCCAUAGAAUCGGUCUAACGCAUAGAGGCGUGCGAGAGACGUACCGAACUUCCGCGUCGUGCCGCGGUGAGUGCGUGCGCGCUCAUGUGUGUUCACGCCUAGGCAAGGCGUUCGCUUGACGCGCUUUGGCUACUGUGAAAAAUGCUCGACGACCCUUUGGCAGAGCCGGGGCAUGCACCACCGUCCUCGCCGCCGACCCUCGCCUCAUCGUCCGUGUCUGCAAUACAGCACGAGAGCGCCGCAUCCGUGAUUCCAUGCUCCUCCUCGUCCUCCUCGUCCUCUUCGGCCUCCACCGCUUCAACGGCGACGCGCAGCUCACCCGUCUCCGGCUAUGCGAUACCUGCCGAUACGACGACCCUCGAGGACGCUCCGCUUUCUCUGUCGCGCCUUAAGAGGCGCACCAGAGUCUUGGAGGAGGAGCGGCUGCACUAUGCGCAGCUGGGCCAGCGUGCGGCAGAUGCCUUUGAGGAGCACCGACGCGAGCUCACGCAGCUGGUGCAGAAGGAACGGGCCAUUCGCGGCCACCGUGAAGACGUGCUGCGAGCUCAGCUGCAGGAGACGCUUCAAGCAAAUCGCGAACUUAUGGCGCGCGUCUCGGAACAGCGUCGACGGCACGAGGAAGCGUGGGUUGCAGAACUGCAGAGGCAUCGCGGCAGCAACACGGGCCAAGGCGAGUUGGAGUCGACGCUGCGGCAGCUGCACGAGGAGUGGGUAGAGCUGCGGCGUGGUUUGGCGGAGACGGAGGCCUCACAUGAGGAGCACCGUCGAAGCCUCGCCGCCUGCUUGCAUGAUCAAGAGUGCCUGAGGAGUAGGGUGCGCUCCCUGCAGGAUGGACUACGGGGCGCUGAGGCGGCGGCCGCAGCGGCGGAACAGCUCGAGGAGGAGGUUGUGGAUGAUGGACAAGGGCAAACGGGACCAGCGACAGCGCCAGUCAAGAGUCCCAAGGAGAGCUGGGCGGAAAAGCCGUCGUCGCGCACAUCUGUUGCAGCGUCGCCGCAGCUCACGCGGCACCCGCGCUGCUCGUACUGCGACAUGCUACCCAAAGUCUGGGACGCGCCGUCGCCCAAGCGUCGUGUGCCGCGCCGUCAUUUUGUGCCGAGCGGUCCGUGGGACGCCUGCAGCCCCUGUCGCGCCUCCUCGCCCUGCACCCACAACGUGGAGGCGAUGGUGGCGACCAUCGAGCGCGGGAACUACCUACGGCCUCGACUGUACUACCACCGCGUGGGGCGUGGGCCGACUGACGUGGCCGAUGCCCCCGUGGCGGCAGCUUCACCGUAUCGGCAACACCGCGGCGGUUUAAGCACGGCGCGGCCACCACCGACUCCUCCAGCUGCAUGCACCUCGUCCUGCGCAUCCGCGACGCCUCCGCGGAAUGGAGACUACCGCCACCUGCACAACUUUCAACACUCGCCUGGGUUGUCGUCGUCAUCGACCCCGUCCGGUACUCGCACCCCGGACACACACACGACCACGGGGUCUUCGUCGUCAUCGUGCUCGUGCUCAGCCUGCGCGCCCGCCUCUACAAGCGCCCCGGUGAAGGAGAGCACGCAUUCGCCAUCCGCGCGGCAUCGUGGCGAGCGCCGGCACGAGGCCUCGCCGUACCGGCCACGGAGCCGCUGUUUUUCGCCCCGCACCCGAGGCGAAAGGCUCCGAGCAGACACCCAGGCGAGCGCGGGCGUGCGUAUGCCUCCGCAUCACAGUGAACCCACCACCGCACCGUGUUCAUUGCCGGCUUUUCAUCGCGUACCAUUACCACCACCGCGACCGGCCGCGGACGGCCUGCACGGAGCCGCUCUGAACGCCACUUGCCGUGCUCUUAUUACUGAUCUGGCUGAUAUGCGGGCCGAGUACCGACUCUGCCAGCGCCAGCUGCGCGACCCGCACGGGGAUUCUGUGGCAGCGAGUCAAGCGAUGCGCCGCCUGAUGCACGAAAUGGACAGCAAAGCAGCCCAGAUACACGCGCUGCGCCUGGAGCAGGGGCGCCACAACAACGCACUGCGAGUGCGGGAUGUGCUGCGGGAGGUUAAGGCAGAGAAUCGCUACUGCGAGGCUGUGUACAGCGAUCUGCUGGACCUGAUACGUACCUAAAGGACCAGCUGUGAGAGGCAUCGUCCGAGGGGGCGGGGCGUGUAGCUGCGAAUCUUCUCCCCUUCUUGUAGUUCUCACGCGUUACUCACUACGCAACACACACACACACACACACACACACACGCACAUAUGCAAGCAUGAACAUAGAAAAGCCAGCGAGGCAUUGUGCGCAGCACGGUCGCAGCUAUGGCGGGCCAUCGCGUCAUAGAGAGAGCAAGAGAAAAGGAACACCACCCAACACCCUUGGCAUCUACGUGCGCAAGGGUGGCGACGCCCUGCACACACGGCACCUGCGCCGUCGACGAGUGCAUUAAGCAUAUAAUGGGGCCGGUGCCCUUGUUUUGUGCGUAUCCCACUUUUGUUCUUCCCGUUUCGUUC